GAUGAACGCUAGCGGCAGGCCUAACACAUGCAAGUCGAGGGAGAAGCCCUUUCGGGGGCAGAAAACGGCGCACGGGUGCGUAACGCGUAUGCAACCUACCUUUCACAGGGGGAUAGCCCGAAGAAAUCUGGAUUAAUACCCCAUAAUAUUAUUGGAUGGCAUCCUUUGAUAAUUAAAACUGCGGUGGUGAAAGAUGGGCAUGCGUCCUAUUAGCUAGUUGGAGUGGUAACGGCACCCCAAGGCUACGAUAGGUAGGGGUCCUGAGAGGGAGAUACCCCACACUGGUACUGAGACAGGGACCAGACUCCUACGGGAGGCAGCAGUGAGGAAUAUUGGUCAAUGGUCGGAAGACUGAACCAGCCAUGCCGCGUGCAGGAAGAAUGCCUUAUGGGUUGUAAACUGCUUUUAUAUGGGAAGAAUAAGGCGUACGUGUACGUUGAUGACGGUACCAUAUGAAUAAGCAUCGGCUAACUCCGUG
rnacentral:rRNA from 1 species